rnacentral:lncRNA from 1 species
CUCGCUCGCUCCCCCUCGGAAAGCUGCGAAAGUGCUUUGGCGGUUUGUCCAUCCGCAGCUUCGGCUUUUCCAGUCUGGUGGCCCUUCCGGCCACCCCUUUAACCCCAGCUUUCCCUCCCCCUUCUUUCGAUCAGAGAUCGGCGGAGACCCUCGAAGUGCGCAAACUUGACACUCACCCUGACCGGACUGGGGUUUUAAGGGGUGUGGCAGGAGGUUUUGGACUCGAUGAGUUUCCACCGAAAUGUCGGAGAAGUCAGGCCAGAGCACAAAAGCAAAGGAUGGGAAAAAGUAUGCAACACUCAGUUUAUUUAAUACUUACAAGGGGAAAUCAUUAGAAACACAGAAAACCACAGUUGCAGCUCGACAUGGAUUACAGAGUCUUGGAAAAGUCGGUAUUUCACGGCGUAUGCCUCCACCUGCUAACCUCCCAAGUCUUAAAGCAGAAAACAAAGGCAAUGAUCCUAAUGUAAACAUUGUACCUAAAGAUGGCACAGGGUGGGCAUCAAAACAAGAGCAACAUGAAGAAGAAAAAACACCAGAAGUGCCACCAGCACAGCCAAAACCUGGGGUUGCAGCUCCCCCAGAAGUAGCACCUGCUCCCAAAUCAUGGGCCAGUAACAAGCAAGGUGGGCAAGGAGAUGGAAUCCAAGUGAAUAGUCAGUUUCAGCAAGAAUUUCCCAGCCUGCAGGCAGCUGGGGAUCAG